UCGGGAAUAUUGGACAAUGGGCGAAAGCCUGAUCCAGCCAUGCCGCGUGAGUGACGAAGGCCUUAGGGUUGUAAAACUCUUUCGUCGGGGACGAUAAUGACGGUACCCGAAGAAGAAGCUCCGGCUAACUUCGUGCCAGCAGCCGCGGUAAUACGAAGGGAGCUAGCGUUGUUCGGAAUUACUGGGCGUAAAGCGCACGUAGGCGGCCUUGUAAGAUGGGGGUGAAAUCCCUGGGCUCAACCCAGGAACUGCCUUCAUGACUGCAAAGCUCGAGGAUGUGAGAGGUUGGCGGAAUUCCGAGUGUAGAGGUGAAAUUCGUAGAUAUUCGGAAGAACACCAGUGGCGAAGGCGGCCAACUGGCACAUUUCUGACGCUGAGGUGCGAAAGCGUGGGGAGCAAACAGGAUUAGAUACCCUCGUAGUCCCUGAGCGGGCUGGCAAGGCGCAU
rnacentral:rRNA from 1 species